rnacentral:rRNA from 1 species
UUCGGAUCGCAGCCUGCAACCCGGCUGCGUGAAGCUGGAAUCGCUAGUAAUCGCGGAUCAGAAUGCCGCGGUGAAUACGUUCCCGGGUCUUGUACACACCGCCCGUCACACCAUGGGAGCCGGAAACGCCCGAAGCCAGCGGCCCAACCGCGAGGAGGGAGCUGUCGAAGGCGGGUCCGGUGACCGGGGUGAAGUCGUAACAAGGUAAC